rnacentral:lncRNA from 1 species
CGACAACUCUCUUGGUGGUGUCGGGCCCUGCAGCUGUUGCUGGGCCAAGUGGCCUUACACAGCCACCGGCUACACCCCAGGUGCUGCGGCCUACCCCUUAGGUACCUCAGCUUACCACCCAGGUGCCGCGGCCUACCACCCAGGUGCCGCAGCCUACCCCCCAGGUGCCGCAGCCUACCCCCCAGGUGCCGCGGCCUACCCCCCAGGUGCCGCAGCCUACCCCCCAGGUGCCGCAGCCUACUCCCCCGGUGCCGCAGCCUACCCCUCGAGAGCCACGGGCACCCCGUAGACAGCCCAGGCAGCAGGAACUCGAUGGUGCUGUGGUGACGGCUACUGCCGCAUACGUUCGCCAGAGCGAGUUGGCGGAAGCCAGAGUUCAAGAGGACGACCGCUUCCGCCAACAACUGCUGGAGCAAAACCGGCAGCACCACGAGGCCCACAUGGAGAGCCUGCGGCACCUCGGGGAGGAGGUGGCGGGAAUGCGGGAAGUGCAGUCGCAGCGCCUCGAAGUGGCGCGUCGGUCGCGCGAGACCAACGAGCGCCUGCUUCAGCUGCUGCUGGCUGCACUGGGGCAUGGUGGCAGCCAAGCCCCUCUCCCCUCUCAGGCCCAACAUAA